AUGCUUACGUGGAUUUUAAAAAUAAAUAAAAAAUAAAAAACAAAUUACAUAUCAGAAAAUUAAAUUAAAUUAAUAAAAUUAAAACCCCAAUUUUUUUAAAACAUAAUUCAACCCUUUUAAUCUUCAAUCUUAAUCCGAAAUCAUCCAUCUUCAUCUAUGUCUCAUCACCCUUCAUCAAUCUUAGCCAUACAUCAUCAACUCAACCUCCACCAUCAAACCCCACAACCAGAUAAGGUCAAAUUCUUCAUAUUACUAAAAGAAAGGUAUUGGCAUAAGGGCAAAAACCAAUUUGAAGGGAAUAAACAUACAAAGCCAGUAUCAAUUCAGAGGCUUGGAUCGGUGAAGGAUUAACCCAGAACAAUUAAGAGGAAAACCCAAAACAAGCAUUAAAAGCCCAUAAUGGUUUUGUUCUUUCCUCCUUACACAGAUCUGGGUUCACCUUCGAUUUGAAUGGCACCACAGAUCUGAGCAUCAAGUGAGAGAGAGAUCGCGAGCAGAGGGAGAAGGAGACGCGAACAAAGAUGGUGGAUCCGGUGGCGGAGAGAUCGACGCGCGNNNNN
rnacentral:lncRNA from 1 species